CACUGACAGGUUCUAUAAAUGCUUCCCGACCCACAGCAUCCUGGGUGGUCUACUCGGUAUGGCUAAGGUUCCCGCUGACGGGAUGACAACUGGUCUAGCCGAACUCAGCAGAUAUGACUUCUAUGGAAUUGGCUGGUCAUUGUUGAGCUGAUUCUCAAUUAUUGAGUUACCGAGUUGCCAUGCUGUUGUGUCCGUCAAGCGUCAAACAUAACUACGGCGUAAGAGAAUAUCAACUUGCGCCCUGGCAUUCCAUUGCAGAGCGAAGAAGACCUCGCAACAUCGCCAACAAACAUUUUUCGAUGUCUACGAUGGGUCUCUUGUUCUCAGGAGCAAAAAGUCACGGG
rnacentral:sRNA from 1 species